rnacentral:lncRNA from 1 species
ACCUCAAAAUUGUGCAACAGUAAACUCUAUUGCAAAUUCAGGCCUUCCCUUUGCACUUAUCAACUUUAAAAGGUUCACCGUCCUCGAUGAGUAUGAAAUCCAAAAACGAAACAUAACAAAGCAACCAUUAGAGAUUCGAGAAAUCUCCUGACGACAUUAAGCCCAAAAAUAUAAUCAAAUAAGCAAACAACAUACGGAUUGCAAAACGGAAGCUUACCUUGAUUACGGAAUGCCUUCUGUGAUCACAGCCUAAUUGCACCUUAAUCUACUAGUUUCAAUUGACUAUUCUAAUAUUAAUAACUCUCUAUUUGUUAUUUGAUUGCAGAUUUCAAUGGUGGAAGUCUCAUAAAUGGAAGAAGAGC